UACGAAGGGGGCGAGCGUUGUUCGGAUUUACUGGGCGUAAAGGGCGCGUAGGCGGCCCUCCUAGUCGCGUGUGAAAGCCCCGGGCUCAACCUGGGGAAUUGCGCGCGAAACGGGGGGGGCUUGAGUUCGGGAGAGGAGCGUGGAAUUCCCGAGUGUAGAGGUGAAAUUCGUAGAUAUUGGGAAGAACACCGGGUGGCGAAAGGCGACGUCUU
rnacentral:rRNA from 1 species